AGACGGAUACACUGGCAAUUUAACAUAGCAACAGUGCUUGUUCCAGGUGAUGGGUACUUUACACAGAGUGGACAGGUGAUGUGGAUGUUGCCAACCAUCAUCUUCUUUCUUCACGACUAUUUAUGUUGCUGGAAGAGUGGACGAUGUAGAAGAACCUGUAAUAGAUGGUGUGCCUGGUUGAUUGAAAGG